rnacentral:rRNA from 1 species
UACGUAGGGUGUAAGCGUUAACCGGAAUUAUUGGGCGUAAAGGGUGCGCAGGCGGUUCUGUAAGUCAGAUGUGAAAUCCCCGGGCUUAACCUGGGAAUUGCGUUUGAAACUACAGGACUAGAGUGUGGCAGAGGGGGGUGGAAUUCCAUGUGUAGCAGUGAAAUGCGUAGAGAUGUGGAAGAACAUCGAUGGCGAAGGCAACCCCCUGGGUUGACACUGACGCUCAUGCACGAAAGCGUGGGGAGCAAACAGGAUUAGAUACCCUGGUAGUCCACGCCCUAAACUAUGUCAACUAGUUGUCGGGCCUUAAUAGGUUUGGUAACGUAGCUAACGCGUGAAGUUGACCGCCUGGGGAGUACGGUCGCAAGAUUAAAACUCAAAGGAAUUGACGG